rnacentral:lncRNA from 1 species
UCAUGAAAAUGCAAUAUAAAAUAUAAGUUCAAAAUAGUAUUUUGAAGGAGACAGAAUCAUGAUAUAUCAAAGCAUGACAUCAAAACCAAAAUCCUAAACUAGGUACCAUAUCAAUUACAAAUGACUACUUGCAAUGCAAUUUGCAAAACUUACAUGACCAGGAGGAAAAAUAAUAUCACAACCAGUCAACCAUACUGAUUAAAUAAAAAGUGCUUCCAUUUCUUGUCUCCUGCAUUCAUCCUAAAGCCAUUGAGGGGGUCUACUCGAUAAAGAUCACAUUUUCAGCCAAGCCUACUGGGAACCAUGAAUGUACAUUGAGAAAAAGAAAAAACAAAAACCUGUCAAUAUAUAUACCAGUUAAAGACCAUCAAAGCAUAUAGCAUUCAGCACCUGAUAAAUAUAACUGAACCAUAAUAUCUGUUGCUAUAGUAUUUGUUAAUAUAAGGUAUGCUUCAAUUACCAGUAGCAUUGCAGUCAACCCGUGCUACCAACCUUAAGAAAUUAGAAAUGUAGUGAUCCUGCAUCAAAAUAGUAGAAGUUACUUCUAUAGACAAAUUCCUCUGCUGGAACCAUGAUACUUGUCAAAUAGGAUGUCAAAGUGAUUCAGUUUCAUUUUAUUCUCACAAAAGAACAUUACUGAUAUGAUUAAUUAUUUCUUCUUAUAACUAAAUCAGAAUUACAGAACCAUGAGGUUCUGGUUGUGGUGUGGCAGAAUUUAUAUCAACACAAUAUAAGGGGCAGUGGAUAAUUUUCUUCUUUAUUACAAGAACAAGAAUGCUGAACUCAAGUCCUAAUCUCUUCUGCCAUGAUAACAGAAUAUACUGGUAACUAGUUAAUAAAUUAACAGCUUUACUAGCAAUAUUGAGCAGAAGGAACUCAUAAAAAAGUAUCAAGUACAAACUAGUAAAUACAAGAUUGGCUAUAGAGAGAAGCCAAAUCAUAUCAAGAUCUCAUCACAUCUGUCUGCAAAUGUAUUUCAUGAUUUAAUGCCCUGAAACUCGUGCCAUGAAAAAGAAAUUCUAUGUAUGAGAGAGUUCAUGUUUAGCAGAUAAAAUGAAUUAGAUCAUACAUUCAUACAUUACAAUGCAAGUUACUAGAAUCUCAAAAGGACAGUGUGUUUAUUGAUAUAACAAAUAGCAAGUUUCAGGACAGAGAAGAUAAGCAGAACUGAGAUUGAUGAAACUCGAUUAAUGUUUAGUAACGCAUAUUGUAUGUCUGUGACAUUGCAAUGCCCAAGAGUUUUUAUUUUUGUUUUAAUUAUUCAAUUAUUUAUAUUAAUUUCAGGGAAGAGCUAAGAGAACCUUAUCAUGAAAAUUCAAGAUAAAAUAUAAGUUCCAAAGAGUAUAUUUUGAAGGAGACAGAGACAGGAUAUAUCAAAUAACAAAUGACUACUUGAAUGAAUCAGCAAAACUUACAUGACAAGGAAAAAUAAUAUCACAUCCAUACCGAUUAAAUAAAAAAUGCUUCCAUUUCUUCUCUCCUGCAAUCAUCCUAAAGUCAUUGUGGGGGUCUACUUGAUAAAGAUCACCUUCCACACCAAGCCUACUGGGAACGACGAAUGCACAUUGAGAAAAAGAAUGAACAAAUUGAACCUUAUAAAGAACAUCAAAGCAUAUAGCAUUCAACACCUGAUAAAAUAAUUGAACCUCUAUAUAUGUUGUCUAUAGUGAUUUGUGAAUAUAAGGUAUGGCUUCAAUUACCAGUAGCAUUGUAGUCAACACAUUAAGAAAUGUAGUGAUCCAGCAUCAAAAGAGUAAUAGAAGUUACUUUUAAAGACAGAUUCCUCUAGUGGAACCAUGAUACUUGUCAAAUAGGAUGUCAAAGUGAUUCCAGUAACUUAUUAUUCCAGUAACUUGGAAGGCAUCAAAAUCUUCUAACUCAAAUGCCAAUACAACACAAUAGAGAUCAGUUAAUUACCAUUAUAAUUUCAAAAGUCUCAGGCAAUUUUCUGGGACCAUUUUGCAGGUAGCUUGUAAUGUUGGUGGUUCNNNNNNNNNNNNNNNNNNNNUGGUGUAGAAAGUUGGAUCAAGACUACCUAAUAUAGCUUGAAACAUAAUUGAAACCCAGAGGAGGAGGGACAUGUGAAAGGGGAUUCAUACCUCAGUGUCGGUCUCUAUCAGUGUGCAGAGACAUGGACCACACCAUGGAUAGCAGGGAUGAAUAGCCUUAUGGGUUGUGCUAUAUAUACAUGAGGAUCGGAGUUAACUGUUCUUCAAUGUGUGCUUCUUCUACCAGAGUAUUAGCUAGCUAGAAACCCAGUUCUUCUACUAGAGUAUUAGCUAGCUAGAAACCCAGUUUUCCUUUGCUUUGCUUUCCAGUAGAAAUGAGAAACUUGUUGCUUCUCCUCAGUGUGGUGGUGUUUGUUGUUGGGUUGCUCGCUCCAAUCAAUGGAGUAGGGCGCUCAUCAACAACAACCCAUGCCACCGUGUCUCCUGCCUCUUCCCCUCAGCCUCCACCCGCUCAUAUUCUACCUAAAGGCUCCGCCACGUUCGGCUUCAUUCUCCUCGGAUUCGCCAUAGUUGCUCUUGGCUAUUGGUGGGCUUCCUUCUUUUGGUCUUUGAUAGUCAUCGAAGAUAGACCGAGGGUGGUCGUGAGAGCGGCGACAAGAGGGGUGUUGGACUGUUUUCCUAUCUUUAUAGCCAUCCUCAAACUGUACAUCGCUGCAUAUCUAACCGUCAAAAUGUUCUGGCCGGCGAUGCGAGUGAUAGAUGCCCACAGAGUGCCACCGUGGGAAAAUAUUUGGGAGCCAGUUUAAGCUUUAACUGAGUUUUUUAUUUUUUUAUGCUUUUCUGUUAGUUGCCAAUUACUAAGAUUUGAGAUGGGUAACUCUUUUUUCCCGAAAGGCUUUUUUUAGCGAGGCCCAAUGUUUGUAACCGUUCUAAUAGUAAUUGAUAUUUUACUUUGUUAAAAUCAGUCUCAAGGUUCCAAUGUCGGAGUGUCUUGUGUGCACGGCCGUUUAUGUACACGGCCAUGUGCUGCGUACAUGAUGUGAGAAAUGCGUCGAAUAUAAAAAGGUGUUAGUCAAGCAGACGUUAUCCAGACUUAAGAAGAAAAAAAAAAAGUAAAAAUCUCUCAAACGCAGUAAAACAUGCGAACAGUUGGGAUUCAGUCCAACCACUACUCCUCUUACUUCCUCGAAUCCUCGGUCUACUGUACUCAAGCAAUCGAUUGACAUUGCUUUCAACAGUUUCAACAACCCAAAAUUAUAGCAAGGUUUGAAACCCCGGCGUUAGAUUCAAUCCGAAAUUGGGGAAAAGUUCAUGUGUUCGGGAAUUUGCAGCCGAUUGAAGGAUUCAUCUUGUUGGUAACUGCCAUUUGGUUGGUGUAGGUAACAAUGAGUGAGUAGAGGCAGGAUGCGGUGAUGGUGCAGUCAUCUUCUUCGCCCAUAGACUCUUCCAAUAUUGGGUUCUAAGUACCCGCUCCUAUUCCUAACCGUAUGGUUUCGAUGUAUUCGAUUUCAACUUUAAACGUUGAAAUCUUUGGGUCCAGAUUGUAGGUGAACAAUAUCAUAUGCUUUGAUUUUAUACUAUCAAUUUAAUGCACAAAAUGACAUUCAUGAUUCAUCAGUUUAAACUUGAUUCUGUCAUGUUUGGAGUUUCUUCAUUGUCUAAAAUAUUGGCUUAAAAUGCUCUUACAAGUUUGUUGACCACUACUGUUUCCCUGGUUUCUUAGAAAAAUUUCAAUUAUAGUGGCAUUUAACAAUCACUAAACCUGAACCAAAGUAAUACAAUAAAGAAGAAAUAAAUGAAAUUUACAACCAUUGUUCGUAAGGAGUUUACAGUUAAGUAGGAGAAACUUUCAAUCACCUAAUAAGCCUAGUCAUUUUUAUAUGAUCAUGUCCACAAUGUUACAUGGACCCCCCAUUAUCAAAAUAACAGAUAUCACCAGUGUUUUACCACCCAUCUUUAUCCGAGGACUCAGCAGUUCCCUUGUCAUCUGCUACGUAACCUGCAGACAUCAUAAUUAUUUUAUAAUGUUAAUCUAUUCAUGGCUGACAUGAAAAAAUAUUAAUGAAAAGUAAGGUGUGAGAAAUAAGAGGCCUGAACAGAAAGGAUCACGAAAGGAAGCAACCAGCUGCUAGACAAAAUAGCCAAAUAGGUUCAGGGUCCAGAUGCUUAAAUAGCAAAUCAGUUUAGUAAAGAAAAUGAAACCAUCUCCCUAGUUUACUCUUCUACCCUUUGUUGCUUGUAUCUAAUUUUUGCUCAUUAAUAUAAAUUUUGGACAUGUUGGGUAGUUUAAUUUUUGCUUACAGUUUUUCAAUAGCACUUCAGAGCUGUCCAGUCAGCUUGUCUGCUGAUGAGGCUGUUUUGGCUCAUUGCAGAAGAUACAGUAUCAAGAAAGAUCCAGAUUGAAGUCAGAUCAAAAUCAAUCAUGUUAGAUUUGUUAAGACAAAACCUCAGGUCUUUUUACAAGCUGCCUACUUAUUUUUGCUAUAUUUUCACCAGUGCAAAAAUGAAACUUGAAGCUAACAUGCACAUGAAACACUCCAGAUUAACAUAAUUGAAUUUCAAUGGUGGAAACAAGCGUAAACAUAUUUAUGAAUUAAAAAGUACCUUUCCAAUAACUGGUGAAGGCUUUUUUGAUCCAAUAUCAAGACCCUGAUUCAUCUGUGCCGCAAAGCCAUAAAUAUUUUGUCCCUGUAAUAUAUAUUGUACAACCUGUAAACUGUUUUUAAGCUUCAACAAAAAGAACUCAAUAAAGACUUUGUCAAAUUGAGCAAAACACGUCAACUAAAAUCCAAUCCACAGCUCCGAUCCAUUUAGGCUAUGGAUUGGAUACGAAGGAAUACCACAACUUUCUGUUGGAUUAUUGUAAUAUCAUAAGGCUACUUCAUAUUGAUUAAGCAAAACUCUUUCUCAAUGCAAACAAUAGUUAUAAAAUUGGAAAUGAAACAGGUCAUGAGUGCAUUGGUCACAAAACACAAGCAUAAGAAUGUCAAAAUUUAGUACAUCAAAGACACAGCUAAAAAAGAAGAAGAAAAAAAAAAAGGCUAUGCCAGCAUGGUUUUUGAAACAACUGAAUACAAGACUAACAUAGGCAAGAAUGGUCGAUGGGCAAGAAAACAACUAGUGAGUGGUUAUUUCUCUCAACAUAUAACUGUUAACAAACUUAAUAAACUCAGUGUUAUCUCUGAAUGACAAGGCAAUCUUCUGAACACUUUUUUCUAUCAGACUGCUUGAAUAUCAGACUACCUCAGCAUAUCAGACUACUUGUUGUAGGAAGCGAGAAAUCUCAACUGAAGUUUCUCAUAACAUGUAAGACAAGUAGGCAAGGCAAUCUUCUGGACACUUUUUUCUAUCAGACUGCUUGAAUAUCAGACUACCUCAGCAUAUCAGACUACUUGCUGAAGUUUGAAGCGGGACAUCUCAACUGAAGUUUCUCAUAACAUGUAAGACAAGUAGGCAACCACUAAACUCAGAAAUUGGAACCAUUUAUAAAUGAACUAUUGGUCUUAAGUUUUCAUUAAAAAUCAUAAUAAUAAAAACCAUGUAUGUUUCAAGGUAGCAUUGCCAAAUUAUUGGAGGUAGAAAAGGCUGAAGAGCUAUUGCAAUCAGCUUAUACUGUUGAAUGCAAAAGGAAAUUGCAAGGAAAUCUUCAAGGAACAAUAUAACAAUAUUGCACUUCAUUAACAUAAAAGCCAUGUGCAUAUCAGACUACUUAAGCAUAAUAGACAAUGGACUACUUCAACAAAAGCCAUAUGCAUAUCAGACUAUUUAAACAAAAAUUUCAAGCAUCUCGGAAAUUUCAAUGCAUCAAACUGAGAAGUUCCCAACUAUUUGAUCAUCCUUUCAAAUCGUAGAAACAAAAAAUGCAUAUCAAAAAAGUUAACCAGAGGCAUUACUUUAAUUACUGUUCUUAAAUGUUGCCAGUUAACUUGUAAAAAUAGAACAAGGCAUAUUAGUUUAUAAAAACAGACCAUUAGGAAGUAUAUGCCCUUCAACCAGCAAACUAGAACUGCUAGACACAGAUUAAUAAUCACAAUAGAACUACUGAGCUAUUAGACUCCCCUGAGCUACUAAUGUGGUGUAUUUAGGGAAACUGGUAUAUAUAGAAAGAACUGUGAGUAUAAUAAAACAGUAAUCAGAUUGAAAUUACCCUCAAAGAAAUUGACACCAUAAACAUAUAAAAUCAGUCAAAGCCACAUCUAAUAUUCACAGGAACAUAGAAAUCAAUGAGCUACUCAAAGAAAUUGACAGUAAAACAGUAAUCAGAUUGAAAUUACCCUCAAAGAAAUUGACACCAUAAACAUAUAAAAUCAGUCAAAGCCACAUCUAAUAUUCACAGGAACAAAGAAAUCAACGAGCAAAAAAAAAAAAAAAAAAAACCCAGCCAUGAAAUUGAUCAAAUCUCAGCAGAACAAGCUACCCAGACACUGAAUCCAUAAUCAAUCAAUCAAAUACAUACAACCCAUAAACAAUUUUCUAAGCAAUCGAUCAAUUACUCAAUUUCAGAUCAAGAAAAAAAAAGCGGAGAGGGGUUUGAAGAUGAGACCGAGAGAGAGAGAGGAGAUGGGACCUAGUGUCGGCAAGUCGAAGCAAUGAGACGAUGAAUUUCACACUUGGAGCAUUGGAGAGCCGAUCGGUGAGAGAACAAUCUUUACAAAUCAAUAUGCCCCAAAUUAAUAUUUGUGAAGUAGACCUUUAAUACCCAGUGUACCAAGAACAAAAUUGAUGUCAAAAAUCAUCAUAAUCAAAGAUAUUGGAAAUGGAAUAGAUACAAACUAACCAGAAUCAAAUUUCCAAGCAACAUUGAUCCAUUGAUGCUGACAUUCGAGACGAAGUGAUGCCAGUCAGAGAGAUUGGGCGUCCCGUUCCUUCAUAUCAAAGCCCCGAAAUAGCGUUCCGACCUGACUGGGUUGUUUGACCUUCACAGCUUUGCCGACUCGUCCUGACUACUGGCAGCCGAGUCGGGAAUGGACGAGAUCCAAGUUAUUGAAAUUUUACCCGGAGAGUAGUUUACCCAUUUUUUUUUUUACCCUUCCAACUCAAUGACACGUUGACUGUUACAAAAAGUAAGCAUUAAUCAAUGACUUACAUUACUUCUUUCUCAGCCCUCAUAUGGAGGAUUUCAAUUUAACCACGUGUCACAUGAUCCUGCCGUAUACCUCCACGGCCGUGUAUAGAAGAUUUUCGCUUUUCAUAGACGUUAAAUGAUAUGGGUCAUGUGUAAAAAUAGAUACACGUGUUCUUGGCUUAUUCGUUGGCAUCACUAUCCAGCAGAAACACACAAAAUAAGGAGAAACAAACAUUGGAACAGUUUCCUCUCUCCUCCACCGCCAACUUCCGAGCACCACCGUGACCGACAUCAAAAACCAAUUCACUCGCCGAUAUAUAUGUACCCAGAAUUUUCUCUAAUCUGAGAAAGUUGGUCAUGACGCUGAAGAUGCAGAUCUAAGAAAAAACCCAAUCUAGAACUCUGAAGUUCAAUUACUGAUGAAGGUGCACUGCAGGUAUUUGGUGAAGAUGCAGAUCACAAUUGUGAUGUAUAUAGAAUGGUUGAGUUUUUUUUUACAAGUAUCAGAUGGUUGAGUUGAUGCAGACCAAAUGAUGAAGAAAAGUAAAAGAGCAGAAGGAAGAAGAAGAAAGAAGACGAUGAUGCUUCAAAUUAAGAAAAAAGUGUUUAUUUAUUGAUAAAACUUGUUUGUAUAUUGUCGACAAGACCUUGUGGUCUAGUGGUUCAGACCAUUUUUGAGUUGUACGACGUAAGGGGUUCGAUUCUUAUCCUUGCCUAAUUCUUUUCAUUUUGUUGAAGAUUUUUUUUUUGUUUGUUAUUAUUUAUUGAUAUUCGGGCAAUUAGAGAUAUUAUUUGUGUAAUUAAUUUAAUAAAUGUUUAUUAAGAGAUUUUUUUUUUCGAGUAUAAAUUCCUCCCUUAUGGAGUCACCAAGUGAGUGUAGGCAUUUUCGAACAAUUAUUCAAGCACCGAAGCUAUUUAUUAUGAUUUUUUGAAGUAGAAAUUAUAGUAAAUCAUGGUAAUUAUGCAAUUUAGAAACUCCGAAAAUCAUAACAUAUAGCUCCGUGCCCGAAUAAUUAUAUGAAAAUUCUUACACUUUCUCGAUGAAGCGUUCAGUCCAUCCAUGUGAAAAUUUUAGGAUAUUUACAUCACUUAACUAAUUAUAUUUAAUAAUUAUAAUUUGCCUUUAAGUGACAAUGGAUUAGAGUUGACCAUUUCGAUCGAGCCCUGAACGUUGCCGAAUCGAGUUGAAUUUUAUACCAUAACCAUUUUUCACUAUUAUGAUCAUAUCAGACGGUCGAAUUUUCAUUUUGUGAAUUUUAUUCAUUUGAAUCACAACAUGUCUACUAAUGUGGUAUAACUUGUUUAAUAGGUUAUAAACAAGUGUACAUCUUUGUGAACCAACUACACAUAGGAAGCAAAAAUUUUAAAAAUCUUAUGAAAUAGGAUGUGAUUGAAAUAAUGAAAUACGGCUAUGAUUGAAAAAUCAUGCAUUUCGGGUAACGUCUCAUUCCCGAUAAAAGCGUCAACCCUAUUCACAUUUAAUAUUUCCUAUGGGGAGCCCUAUCGUCGGGACAAUUGAGGACAAGCGCCCAAAUGAUUAAUUGAUUUUUUAUUUUUGUAUUUUUUUUAUCGGAUAUUUUUGUAUUUUCUAAUAGAAAUUUAUUUUGUAAAUAAAAUUAUUUAAGUUUUUAAUGUCCAACAAUUAAUUGAAAAUAUUCUAGAUAGAUAGAAAAACAUUUUAGAUUUUAAACAAUCAUCAUCUAUUAUUAGAGCUUAUCCAAAAUACCUCACUUGCGAUUCAGAUUCUCUCAUCUCCUCUAUUGGGCAAAAAGCAAACACAACACUAUUUAUGUGGCACGCUCAACAUGUUGCCCGACUCUCUUCCAAUUUUCCAUCUCCAACGAUUUUGUUUCUAGCAACCCAAAACCCCAUCUCAAAAAUAAAGCAAAACGUAAUAGCUUUCUCUAAUUAUAAAGUUCAAACACUGAGAAACCAACUCAAACCCAAUAAUUUGUAUUUUUUUUGUUUCAAUUCUCUAUCUGGGUGUUUCCAACAAUCGUGGUUAGCUUCGCCUUCCUUAGAUGUGGUAGAUGUGGAGCAAUUUAGUUCAGAUCCAUAAUUCUUGUUGAACUCUUGCUUCAAAAACAUCCAGGAUCUUGCAUUGAUGAGCUACCCAGCCACCCUCCUAAGCUGUCUAGGCCGCCCAACCACCUGCCUAAGCCGCCCAGCCUGCCUAGGCGGCCCAAAAAAUUAGCCAACCAACUAGGCAUGCUGAUUACAUCGAAAUCUGGACGGGCAGCCACCGAUGAGCGCCUAGGCGCUGCCUGAUCCGAUUUUUGACACCUUGACUACAUGUAAAAUAAAGGUGGAAUAAACAUUUGAGUACCAUACAUUCUUGUAUACGAAAUACCCAAAUUAUUUUAUAGUUUUUUUCUUGUCAAUGGUAAUUUUUAUAUUCUUUUCUCAUUUUCCAUAAUUUUUUCUUCUUUGUCUAUUUAAUUGUUCAUUACCAAAUUUAAAAGAAACUUUUUUCAUUUUAUUUUAACUUCUUUUGGGUAUUACGUACAUGUUCCCAAAUAAUUUCAUAAUCAACUAUUGACAAAAUUUUACAUGUGUAAUAUCUCCAAAAUAUAAAAUGACAAGGCAUCAGAUGUAAGAUACAUAUGUGUAUAUGUAUAUGUAUGUAUUUCGAGGAAGGAAUUAAAUGGUAGGGAAAAAAAAAAACACAGAGACCGAUAUAUAGAUUUUUGGUUGACAACUUGCUACUUUCCUUACGGUUGGUCCAACGGUUGGGUCGCUAGGCACUAAUCCGAAUGCUAGCGUGCAAGCUUUUCCUUAACUUAUGAUCUGCUGAAGUGACGAAAAGAGGACAGUGGGUUUCUUUUAGUUUGGAAAAUACCAAGAAAUCCUCUUCUGGGCUUAAGAUGUAUAAACCCAGCGAUUUCAUAACAUAUAUGCAUAAUUUUCGACUUGUUUCUUCUUCUUUAGUCAAUUAGCACGAAAUACAAUAUAUAUAUAUAUAUAUAUAUAUAUAUAUAUUAGAUCUUGAUUUUCGACUUGCUUCAUGACGAACAGAGGAAACUGAAAUGAAUGGAUAUGGGAGGAGAAAAAAUUGAAAUAGAAAAAGAUGUUUCUGUCUUCUGCGUGGUAGUUGAUUCUCCAGAGGAAGAAGACGAUAAUCAACGGUUGUGAUUAUCUAAUUUCUUUCCAAAAAAUUGCAAAGUGGUCGAACGAGAAGAUCGACAAAAAACUGCAAGGAACCCAUCUUUCUCAUUUGACUUGAAUCUCCAGAGCCAUUACUAUUUAUGGGCUUGCUUGUGUUGCUUUGGUGGUGGUGAUUGGUUCUAUGGAGCAAGCACGAACCGAGAGAAUUUCAAGUGGGAAGAGACUUCAUUUUAGAUGAUUGUGUUUAUGGGUUUUUGAUCUUUGAUGUAUUUAUGGAGCAAAUCAUAAAUUUUUCAGACACAUCAAUCUGAUCAAACCCCUUCUUCGUUUCAUCCGGAUCGGAGCUCCAACAAUGUCAAUAUGCUGAAACCCCUACAUCUAGAACGAAGGGACAAAAAUACCCCUGACAAAAUUGCCAACUAACAACCUUUAUAACGGCGACAAAAAUACCAAAAUUCGGUCGGGAUAAAAAUUUGAGAUACCAUGUUUUACAAAUUUGAGAUACUAAAGUUUAUAAAGAAUAAAAAUUGAGAUAGAACAAUUUUUUUUUUUUUUUCUAUUCGUAUAUUGAAGCAAGCAGAGAACCCGAUCCUAAGAUAAGCAUGCCUCUGUAUGUGUAACGUGUAGUACAGUGCUCGACUCCAAACCCCUCAUGUAUUUGUCUUUUCUUUAGGUAAAAAAAACUUUUAAUAAGAAAACGCUGCGUUUUGGCCGCUGCUGCGUCGCUAAAGACCAGGCCCUCCAAAUCGAACAAAUUCAAAUGAAGAUUUCAAGACCCUUCGCUCUGUAAAACCCUAAACCCCUCCGUCUUUCUUCUCACCCCAUUUCCGCCAAACCCUUAGCUUCAAGCCUUUCAAACCCCAUAAACGCUACGCCAUCAGAGCAGUCUCCGACUUCCCCCAAAUUUCCGGUCAGAUUCCGCGGGACAUUCGCUCUUUCGCCGGCCGGAGCAAGAAGAAGGCGGGAGGAGGUCCGGCGAAGACGGUCGAAUCGACGCGAACUCCGAGUUUCGCAAGGAGGCGAAGAGAAAGACGAGCUCCAGCAAAUCGGGCUCGGGUACGACCGCAUGGGACGACCCGAAUUGAAAUGAGGAAGAGUGGGAUUUGAAAUGAGUCAAGAUUUUGGGUUAGUGGUGGAAGCUGAGAAGAAGAAGAGGUUGGAUACGUGGAGCUUGAUGGGUAGGGUUAGGGAUUCGGCUAGGUCUUUGAUGGGAGUGGUGAGAUGUGUACUUAUUAUGGGGGGUUGUGUAAGAUUGUGGAGGUGAAUCAGGACUUGGGGUUUUUGCUGAAGAAUCAUCCUGUUAAGUUGUUGCAUCCUUAUACAAAAGAGUGGAAGGCUAAGUUGGAGGAGUGGGAGUUGGGGUUUUGAUGCUCCGGAUAGUGAUGAUGCUGACCUCCCUAUCAAUGCGGCAGAGAAGGAGUUUACGGAUUGGGUUGAGGUUGACAAUGAGGAUGGAAAUGAGGGUGACAGUGGUGAGGAAAGUUAUAGAUACGGUCAUAUGGAAGAGGGUAAAGAUGAUGUCUUGGGUCUCGAGGACGAGGGUUUGAGUGAAGAAGAGGAUGAGAAGUAUUGGAGGAUGAGUUUAAAAAGGCCGCCACUAGUGCUGAAGCAAUGGAAAAACUAGCAAAACAGAGUAUAGAGAUAACUGAUAAGUUUUACAAGAAACAAUUGAGGUAAAUGGAAGGAAAUGAAGGUGGGAACUCGGUCGAUGAUGGUGAUGAAACUGCCAUGUGGGGAAGACGACUGAAAAUAAGUGAAGAAGAAUGGAAGUUUGCUGGGUAUGGUCCAUGGAAGAAAAGGAUAAAGAAGAGUGGAAUUCUCCACAGCUGUUCUUGCGAGCAGCAGUUAAGGAAGAAUGAAUAUUUCAGAAAUAUAAAGACGAGGUACAUUUUUAAAUCUAAAGGAAGAAUGAAUUUUAUUGUACCUUUUCUUUGCUUAUUGAUGGAUAUGAGAUUGAUUGUUGCAGGAUUCAAAUGGGAUGAAAAGUAGAUUAAUGGAGGUAGCUGUGGUGAUUUCUUGGUUUUCGCAAAAUAGGUUCGAUAGGUAGAUGAAGCUGAAGAUGAAGAUGAAAAUGACGGGAAAAGGGAGUUGAAGAAAUCAAAGGUAUCAUGACUUGCAUUUAGAGUAAGUUUGUUUGUUUAACUUACCGGUGUGUCACGUACAUGAUGCUAGAUGGGCUACAAUAACUGGAAUAUAGUCAUACUUGAGAUAUUAUAUGCCGCUUGCAGAUUUGUUAUUGCAUCUGUACUUAGAGCUCAUAUUGAGAUUGCCAUUAAUGGUUCAAAUUGUUUCUUUUGCUGUUCAGAAGGAUUCCUCAUCUGCUGCGACCCAUGGCGAAGCCGAGUACGCCAAGUCUGGAAGGUCCUUGUGCAAGAAGUGCUCGGAACCGAUUGAGAAGAACGCUCUGAGGCAGGGCUUAAUCACCAGAGACCCGCGUGGUUUUGACGCAACCCAAGUGGCACCACUUUGGUUUUCUCUCUCUUGGGUCCGAGUCUGUUGGUUCAGUUGACAAGACUAAAGGGUUUAAUGCUCUGAAGGUAUUGCAAUUAGGGUUUUGAUUUUUUGGUAAUUGGAAAUAUAAAGGUUCUGUUUUUGCAUUGACAAAGAAAAUGGGAUGUGUUGAAGUUUGGAUGUGUGUGGAUUCAACUUCAUUUCCCUAUAUAUUGAUUGUUGCUUUACUUGUUUGUCUAUUCAGAGUAGUGAUCAGGACGCUUUGAAGAAUUUGGUGAACAAAUUUGUGAAAUCUAAUGAGGAGGGAAGUUUUCCUUAAUUUUUCUUCUGAAUUUCAUGUUUUAAAUGAACAAUGUGUUUUAUCUUAACAUCCUUUCGUAUUGAUGAAUAUGAAAUUCAUUAGUGGCAGGAUUCAAAUGGAGAGAAAAGUUCUCACAAACAAAAGGUAAAUAUACUGUGUUUGUAUUUGAUUGCUAAAUUAUUGAAGAUACCAGUGUUCAUUUCUUGGCUUUCCCAAAAUAGGUUUGUGAAGAUGAAGGUGAAAAUGAAGUAGGGGAGAGGGAGUGGAAGAAGGCGAAGGUAUGAUGAACCGUUUUAUAGUAUGUUUGUUUGUUUUACCCUAGGUCUGGAUCGACUCAUACUGCUGUCAUGUACAUGAUGCUAGAUGUGCUGCUAUUGGAAAUUGGAAUGCACAGUUGCUCUUGAGAUAUUAAACGCCUCUUGCAGAAAUAUCAUUGCAUCUAUAGUUACUUAGAGCUCAUAUUAAAUUUGCCUUUACUGGGUUCAAGUACUUUGUAUCUAUUUUUUGUCUGAAGGGUUCAAGUAAUUCCAUGCCAAAAUAUAAGGGAAUUGUGUGCAAACUUAGGAAAGAGAGGAUCUUCCUACGCCCAUUAUAAGCUUUAUGUUCAGUCACUUCAGUGUAUGUAAUUGAGGUGUUGUGGUUAGUUCAGAGCUCUUGUCCUAUAACAGUCUUUACCCUUUCCUACCAUAUCUUUGCGGAUUGCAAUUCCUUAUAUCCUCAUUAUUGCUCUUCUUUCCAUUCUUUUCCCAGUACAUACCUGCAGUGGCAUAUUUACGUUAUGGAGGAUUGUUUUUUUUUUUAAAUGAACAAAUGUAUCUCAGAGACUCCUAUACUUAUAGGGUUAUUAUCUUCCGCAUCAAUAUGUAGGGCCCAAAUGUGACUUAGGGCACAGGAAUCUAUUUCUCAUGUCUGCUUUGUAUUAUGAAUCCUUUAGUUCUUAUCAUGAACUUGAUCAUUAUAUGUAUUUUACUUGCAGGUAUCUAACCUUGAAAUAUCCUUUUCUGUUUCUGAUGUGAAGGACAAGUACAAGGUCUGAUCCGUUUCCUUUUGUUUUCAUUCACACCAGAAUAUCCUUCAAUAUCUUUGUUUUUGGCCCAAGUAUAUUAAUUUAAGCUUUGAAUUUUCUGGUACUCAAGAAAUAUUUCUUUGCUUUUAAAGCUGUACCAUGUACCUUUGUUUUUCUUAUGUUGGAAAUAUUUACUGAUUCAGGAUGCAACUCUUCUGCCUAAAUGGAAGGCAUAAGAUAUUUUGAUUUUAUUUGUAAAGGAAACUUGUUGGGUCUUCUUGAUAAUUCAGAUAGAAAGUACGUACCACUUCAUUCAUUUGUCAGUGUUUGUAUAUUUAUGUAUAUUAUAGUGGCUUACUUCAUUUACCAAGUAUAUGCUUGAUUUCUAUGCUUCCUUUUUUACAUAUGUUUUGGUGAUACCUUUUUCUCACUAGAUGUUGAACACAUUUGAUUCUAUGCAUGUUUGUUUGUUGAUCAGAGCUUCAAUGAUCUUAAGUCUCAUUCAUACAAAUGCAAUAGUACUUUGGUGGCCUUACAUAUUUUUGGCUUUAGCUUACCAACUCCAGAAGCCAAAUUUGGCUUACUAAAUCCUUCAAGCUGAAUUUUUUUCUUGGGAUUUGUAAUUUAGCUUCUGAUGGGAGCAUUCCUUAGCUAAAUUUGGCUUUUUAGCUAAAUGUAGAGCUCAUUGAAUUUGCCUUUGCUGGGUUCAAGUACUUUGUAUUUUAUUUUUUUUGGGUCUGAAGGGUUCAAGUAAGAACGUGCCAAAAUAUAAGAGAAUUGUGUGCAAACUUAGGAAACGAAGGUUCUUCCUACGCCCGUUUUAAGCUUUAUGUUCAGCCACUACAGUGUCUUUGAUUGAGGUGUUGUGUUUAGUUUGGAGCUUUUUUCCUAUACUCUUUACCUUUUCCUACCAUAUCUUUGCGGAUUGCAAUUCCUUAUAUCCUCAUUAUGCUCUUCUUUCCAUUCGUUUCCCAGUACAUAGCUGCAGUGGCAUAUUUACGUUAUGGAGGAUUGUUCUUUCUUUCCUAAAUGAACAAAUGUAUCUCACAGACUCCUAUACUUAUAGACUCCUAGACCCAUUGGCCUCCUAGACUCCUAUGCUUUUAACUCACAUGUCAGGGAGGUACCAUUUCAGGUAACAAAUGCUUUCAAAGCUUUACCAUUUACCUUUGUUUUCCUUAUGUUGGAAAUAUUUUCUGUGGUUGAAAGAUUAGUUGUUCACUCUAGUUUUCCGUUGAGUUGGGAUUUCGGUUUCAGAAGAAAUUUAACGGAACAAGAGAUUGAGGAGUUUGUCUCGUUGAUGGCUAAGUUAGAAAAUGUUCGGUUAGUGGAAUCCAAACCAGAUGAAAGGAGAUGGAAGCUUGAGUCUACCGGGUAUUUCUCUUGUAAAUGUUUUCAUAGAUUCUUGAUUAGUAGGGGAGUACGAACACCUGUGAUGUUCUUCAAAGGAGAAGUCCAGGUUGUUGUUUUUCCCCUCAUUGGUGCAUGUUGUGAAAGCUCAAGGGGAAAGUGUUGAUCAUGUCUUUGUGCAUUGUGAAGUUGUUACUUUCUUAUGCAUAUUUGUUUGUUGAUCAAAGUGUUAAUGAUCUUAAAGUCUCAUUUAUACAAAUGCAAUAGUACUUCGGUGGCCUGACAUAACAUGAUAUGAUAUCUUUGAGCAUUUACAGUUUAAUGUCAUUCACGUGUUCAUUCCACCUUUGAUAUAUACAGGAUGGUGGUCUGCCUGAUUCAAGAAAAAUUGCAACUUUUUAUUUCGAUGGAUGUCUUGCAAAUACUGAUGAUACAAGGUAUGACCAAUAUGAUGUUUCAUGCGCUUCAGUUUCUUUUGGAGUUUACUUCUCAUUCUGUUGGUGGAAAAUAAAUCUAUGCUGAAUAUUUUUUUUAGUAGAAUUAAUGGAGGGGAGUGAAAUUUACACUCCCCAAAUUGAACUCCACACAUUAACUAUGUUUAUUGUAUAUUAUGGUCUUCUGAGUUGCAAUUCUUCUUUGGCCUUGUGCUCCACCCAGAAUGAAAAAUCAAAUUACUCUCACCCAUAUAUCUACAAACCUUUCUCCUCCCAAUCACCUCCGAAACCAAUUUCGAGUUCAAAAUUGGUUUGAAGGUACCGUUUCAUCUUUUUCGUUCUUCUGCAGCUAAGACGCCACUCUCUCUCUCUCUCAUACACACACACACACACACACAUUUAUAUGCGUUUAGGAGGAACUCACCUGAGCAUCUCUCUCUGAUUCAUAUUCAUUGUAAGAUUGAAAUUUGAGACCCUAGAAAAUUGGGGAUUUCGAAUUCAGUAGAUUGGGGUCUGGAAGAGAGACAUUGAAAGAAAGUUGACGGGGUGGAGAUGGAAAGGGUGAGAAUGGAUCUGAGCUGCACUGAUAUACUAUCACAUGUCCUCUUUAUCUUCAACUCCAGGUCGUAGCCCCCUUUAACAAUUUCCCAGAAACCAAACAACCAAACAACCAAACAAGACACAAGAUACAUUCACUUAAUUCAUGUACAACAAAUUGAGAACAAACCAUGGUUACCCAGAAGCCCAAAAUACCAGAUGGAGACAUGAUCACAAUUCAAGAUUUGCUGAGGCUUGUCUCCAUGGAUUUAGAGGUUCAGUCCCGUCGAAGUGGUGGAUAUGGUGGCAGAAGCAAUGGUUACGGAGGAGGGAGUGGUGGCUAUGGAGGUGUUGCCCGUCGUGAAGGUAGAAAGUCGGUGGUGAUGGUGGUGGCUAUGGAGGUGGUGGCCGAGACCCUGGAGGUGGUGGAUAUGUUGUGGCUGCGCGACUGGUUGGUUAUGGUGGUGACUGGUGAUGGACUUUGUGUUUGCCAAAAAAAGGUAAAAGAGGAAUUGCAACUCAGAAGGCCAUAAAAUACAAUGAACUUAGAUAGUGGGAGUGUGGAUUUCAAUUCGGGGAGUUCAAAUCUCACUCCCCUUAAUGAAAUGUGUAUAUGUUCUGUGAGUCAAUCAUCAAUCAUGCCGAAAGCUUUUUCAUAUCUGUUAUCCUAGUUAUUGUUGAUGCCCUGAUGUAUAGUGAAGCAUAUAAUCAGAUAGGUCCAUACUCCAUACUAUGCAGAUUUCAGACUAUAUUUUAUAUUCCAUCCAUGUGUCUUUGUGAAAAGUUAAUAUAAUUUAUAGGCUAAGGGACUUUAAGAUUCUAGUGGAAGUCACGAUUCAUAUAUACCAUGGGCCAUUAAGAAUAAUACUAAAUGUUAAUUGGCUACAGCAGGGAUAUUUUUUUUUUAAAUAUUUAUUUCUGAGGCUUCAGCAAGAAAGAAAUUUUUUACUGUUAAGGCAUUGGUCAAAUUCUUUCGGUUACAUAUCUUUUCAAUAGGUUCCAGCAAUAUAUGAGCAUGUAACAAGUUCCAUUUGUAACAAAGUAAGAAAUAUCGAAUUUGUCACAGAACUCUGAUCAAACUCUUUGAUUGACAACCAAUAUGUUCCUCUAAUGCCAGAGUAGGUGCUGAUGUGUGGUCCCUAAUGUAUCCUUCAAUACCUGAUAGGCUACAGAGCUUGUACGAGGAUGGCUACAAGUUGGUACGUAUAAUGUUUGUCGGCUGUCUUAGGCUCUUAGUUGCAUGGGUUUGCAUUGUUUGGAAGUUUGAGGACAAUGACUCUUUUCCAUCGUCAGGCGAUCUUCACUAAUUAAGCCAACAUUGAGCUCUGGAAAAAUAAGAGACGAGUAGCUGUGGACUCAAAAACUGGACGUCUCAACGAUUUUAUCAAGGGAAGGUCCCAAUUCAGGUAACUUCUUAUGUUCCUUUCUGAUGAAAUAAUGAAUGUAAUUUAUCCUUUAUCAUUUGUUGGUAUCCAACCCUGCAACAAUGAAAAGUAAUUUAGUAGCAUUUUAAUAAAAAAAGAUAUGAUAACUUCAGUUUCUGUCUUUCAGUUACUUUCAGUUAUGUAAUGUUUUAGUGAUAUAGUAUGUGACAUAUAGACAGUGCAAAAAUUCAGAAUGACUAUUUGACUGAUUAUCUAUGAGCUCAUCAAUAGUUAGUCUGAUACCAAUCUUUGUUAACCCCUUCAUACUGAAAAAAAGACAUGCCAAAUACACGUGUAUAUGAGUCACUCACUUCUUUAUGUAGUGUAUGUGGGCAGUUGGUUCUCUUCUAGUAAUUAUUGUCACUCCACAUUAUUAUCAAUUAUCAGUAUAAUACAUCUAAGCAAAUUCUCACCUUUCUAAUUUUUAUUCAAAAAUUCUUAUUUAGUUACGUAUUGUGAUUAGGAUCAUGAAAGGAGAGAGCUUUCUCAAAGUCAUAUGACUAAACGAGCGAAGAAACUGAGGGUGAAGGUAUGACUGACAACUUGUAUUAAAUUAAGUUUGUAUUAUUUAUCUUUAUUCUUUUUAAUUGUAAUUAUUGUAGUAUGACAAAUCAUAUGGAUGCAUGCACUGACCUCAAUAAAAGCACCUAAAUUAGUUCAAGAUUUUUCUUGUUUUUUCAUAUACAAAUUAAAUUUGUUUUUAAAGUCUUUUCUCUGACUGUACCUUAUAGUUCAGCUAUUUGGUUUGACUUGCUUUCAUGAUUAUCAUUUGUCUGAAUUUUGAAAAUCUGUUUUACCCAUUGCACCUGAAAGCUAUCUUUUUCAAAUUGGAUUUUAAAUUGAUAAAGCCCAAGUAGAGAUCAUUGUGUUCUCUGUGUUUCCUUCUUCACUUCACAUCUUACUAAUAAAAGGAUUCGUCGUUAUGAUACUAUGGUUCAAAUGAACUAACCAUUCAAUUUCUGAUUUCCCUUCUAGGAGGAAGAGAUAAAACUGAAACCUGUCAUUGCUUUUGAUUGUGGUAAGUUCCUUUCUACUAUCUUUGUAAUAACACCUUUAGUCGUCAUACUAGUUUAAUCUUAGAAUACUAAAUUUAAAAUCGUGGUCUUACUUUUGAAUAAUAUGCUUUCAAAAAUAAUAUGUUACUAUACAACUGAAUCCGUUGCUGUUUCUUGGCCUCAACAACAUGGAGUUGAAAUUGCAGUAUAUAUGUGCAGCUAAAUCCAUUAGGAAUUUGCUGAUUACGCGUCUUCAAUUCAAGAAAUCAGUUUCAUCUUGGUUGAUGAAUGAAUUGCAAUAUGUUUUAUCCUGCAAAAUUUGUAUGGUUUAUCAGACAUUCUAAUUAGAUUUACCAUUACCUGGAAAUCUAUAUCAGCUGAGACAAGAGAGUGAGAUUGGUGCCCUGUUGUUACAUGUCACAUGGAUACUGCACAGGCAUAUGUUUGGAGACUUCAAAACUUUGUUCUUGGGGAGCAUAUGCUGAAACCAAGACCAGAAAAUCCAACACCUGUGAAGGUUAGAACUCUAUUUACCAUAUCUAUUGUUCUUUUUCAAUAUCUUUUGGGCAAUAUUUACAAGAAACAAUCAAGUUGGAUAUUUCUUCCUUUUUGGUGUGCAGAUGAGCUUUUUUUAUUUGAAUUGUACGAAAUUGGAAUAAGUAUUUUCAGCAACCUGAAAGGCUUGUGUAAAACCACUUCCUUACUCAAGCAUUGUCACAAUGAUUUAAGAUAUUUACUGAAUGCUUGUAUUUGUUUGGUUAUAGGCCUGAACAAUCAGUGUGUGUGGAAAUUUUGCCAUACUAGGGACAGCUGGUGGUUGGAUUCGGCGGUUCAAUCUGCAGUCAGGAAGCAGCCGAGGUAGUUAUGUGGAUCCAUCGGAAAGAAGCGGCUCUGCCCAUGACGGGGAAGUUGUUGGAAUUGCGUAUGAUUCAACUAAUACUCACAUGAUAAGCGCUGGAUAUCAGGGAGACAUAAAGGUUAGUGUGUACUUCAUGCAUACAUUAUGCUGUACAUUGCUAUUAGAUUUACUGGUAGAUAUGCACAUUGCACAAGAAUAUGCUGGUAAGUAAAUUGUCGAAUGAUUAAAUCAAUCAAGUAAAAAGAAGAGUUUUAAGCGUAACGUGAACGGCUUUACCCCCUCUUGUUUGCUGCUGGACAUUUUGUGAGGUAGCUGCUUCCACUAUCCAAAUUAUUUUUCGAAGACUUACCAAUUAUGAAUGGAAACCAUGGAACUAUUUAAAGUUUUAAACCACCUGUAGUAUGGUUAUUUCUAUAUAAACCACCGACGACAUAUAUGGGUCUUAUCGACCGAUUACGUAUUAGGCCGAGUAGCGGAACCAGAAUAUCAGAUCAGGAUGAUUUCUGAACAUCUAAACUAUGUGAUAGUGUGGAAAUCUAAAUCUAGAAAAUGGAUUAAUCAUUACUGGAGAACUGGUUGAUUAUAGAUUUAUACUCUUUAAUAAAUAUGCAGAAUUGGAAUACGACAAUGGAAAUAAAAAAGAUGUUUUCCUGUGGCUUCCCCGCUUUACCUUACACCAGUAGGAAUCUUGCAUCCCCAUCCCUAUAUGUGCGGCUUCUGCCAUCUUUUUAUUUUACGCUUCUAAAUUUGGUUUUUUCUAUCAGCUACUAAUAAUAUAUCUAGUCUCUUAUAUAAUGCUCCAACAACACAGAAAACUUUUCUUCAGGUCAUCUAAAGUUUUCUGGACCUUUUACUCAGAUGUUCUGAUGUACAGGUCUGGGAUUUCAAGGGACGUGCAGUACCAUCUAUAUGGGAAGUUGGGAGCGCUGUUGUCAGGAUUGUAUACAAUCGUUUGAAUGGUAACAUUUGUUUGACAUAUUUUUUGGCAUAUUUUCUUUCCUGCUAUUUGUUACCAUAAAUUCCUUGGAUAAUAUUGUGAUCAAUCAAAUCAACUUUCAGGUCUUUUGGCUAUUGCCGCUGAUGACUUAAUUAUCCACUUGUUUGAUAUUGUUCGAGAUGAGCUAACUAUAGCUUGGGAUGACGAGCUUGAUUCUUUUGUAGCACAUAUAUAUGAGAGAUUUCGAAGAUAGAGCACUUAUCAUUCACACGUAUCAAUUUCGCUCGACUCCUACUCGUUUAGUGCCAUUUCAGCUGUUAAACGGGGUUAAUAGCUUCUGAUUCAUCUCAAUAAUAAGGCUCUAAUGAUUGCAAUUACGAGCCGUAAAUUACUCAAACCUGAAACUGUAUAUUGUGUCGUGUCUCCUUCCCGCAACCAUGUGAUCUUUGCCUUCAAAUGUCUUCCUCAUGUCGCUCCUAUCGAUCAAGUUUCUUAGACACUGCCUUGCGUCCCUGUAGGUAAUUGAUUCUAUAAACAAAAAAUAAAAAAGUCAUCAGAAAAUUAAGUAACUGAAUCAUUCAAGGCAUAUAUACUCUUUUGGAUGUCAGUUUUGCAUUUUGUUUUGCUUCGAAUAGACUUGCUUGACUAGGUGUAAGGAGUUGUACGGAGUUCAUCUGCGCUUGAUCAAUUGAAUGAUUACCAGUAGCAAUUACUGGAUCGACUUCAAUUACCAGUAGCAUUGUAAUCAACACAUUAAGAAAUGUAGUGAUCCAGCAUCAAAAUAGUAGAAGUUAAAUGGCAUCAAAAUCUUCCAACUCACAUGUCAAUACAACAGUUCGAGAGAUCAGUUACCACUAUAAUUUCAUUCAAAAUGUCUUGAGGCAAUUUUCUGGGACCAUUUUCUUGUAAAGAAACAAACAAACAAACAAGCAGUUUUUCUGGGUCUCCAUCUCUACACAAGGGAGGAUAAAAAGAUAUUCAUGAUGGCAUUAUAGCCAAGGACAAGAGGAGAGACAUAACCCAGGACUUGCAUAGUAGUCUCCAUCAUUAAAAGAGCAUGGUCAUAAUCAGCUUGCACUUGUUUACAAAAGGAAGACCCUCCCAAAUUUGUGAAACCUCAGAAUCAUGCAUAUGGACCCAAGGAGAUCACAUGCCACCCAAAGAAAAAUGGGGGAAACGACUAAGAAACACGGGCACAAAAUGCCAUCCCAAUUUGCCUACUGAAUAGUCUGAAUUGAACUAUACAUUGGUAUUGGCUUGCUUGCUACAUAUAGAAUAAAAAAUUUCAGAAAAAUUUUGGUCUCCACUAAAUGAGACACUGGACUGUACCCACAUUUCAGACAAAUUCCAGAUCAGCAGAACUGAGAUUGAUGAAAAAACAAGAUCUGUUCUCUCCCUAUCAAUUCCCUUGAAACUCGUAUCUCAAUUAAUGUUCAAUCUGUCUACAGCAAAAAGCAUACCAGUGACAUCCCAGUGUCCAAGACUCCAAAAAAAAAAAAAAAAAAAAGAAAGUUUUUGGGCAUUUAUAAAUAUGUUUCACGACCAAAAAAAANNNNNNNNNNNNNNNNNNNNNNNNNNNNNNNNNNNNNNNNNNNNNNNNNNNNNNNNNNNNNNNNNNNNNNNNNNNNNNNNNNNNNNNNNNNNNNNNNNNNNNNNNNNNNNNNNNNNNNNNNNNNNNNNNNNNNNNNNNNNNNNNNNNNNNNNNNNNNNNNNNNNNNNNNNNNNNNNNNNNNNNNNNNNNNNNNNNNNNNNNNNNNNNNNNNNNNNNNNNNNNNNNNNNNNNNNNNNNNNNNNNNNNNNNNNNNNNNNNNNNNNNNNNNNNNNNNNNNNNNNNNNNNNNNNNNNNNNNNNNNNNNNNNNNNNNNNNNNNNNNNNNNNNNNNNNNNNNNNNNNNNNNNNNNNNNNNNNNNNNNNNNNNNNNNNNNNNNNNNNNNNNNNNNNNNNNNNNNNNNNNNNNNNNNNNNNNNNNNNNNNNNNNNNNNNNNNNNNNNNNNNNNNNNNNNNNNNNNNNNNNNNNNNNNNNNNNNNNNNNNNNNNNNNNNNNNNNNNNNNNNNNNNNNNNNNNNNNNNNNNNNNNNNNNNNNNNNNNNNNNNNNNNNNNNNNNNNNNNNNNNNNNNNNNNNNNNNNNNNNNNNNNNNNNNNNNNNNNNNNNNNNNNNNNNNNNNNNNNNNNNNNNNNNNNNNNNNNNNNNNNNNNNNNNNNNNNNNNNNNNNNNNNNNNNNNNNNNNNNNNNNNNNNNNNNNNNNNNNNNNNNNNNNNNNNNNNNNNNNNNNNNNNNNNNNNNNNNNNNNNNNNNNNNNNNNNNNNNNNNNNNNNNNNNNNNNNNNNNNNNNNNNNNNNNNNNNNNNNNNNNNNNNNNNNNNNNNNNNNNNNNNNNNNNNNNNNNNNNNNNNNNNNNNNNNNNNNNNNNNNNNNNNNNNNNNNNNNNNNNNNNNNNNNNNNNNNNNNNNNNNNNNNNNNNNNNNNNNNNNNNNNNNNNNNNNNNNNNNNNNNNNNNNNNNNNNNNNNNNNNNNNNNNNNNNNNNNNNNNNNNNNNNNNNNNNNNNNNNNNNNNNNNNNNNNNNNNNNNNNNNNNNNNNNNNNNNNNNNNNNNNNNNNNNNNNNNNNNNNNNNNNNNNNNNNNNNNNNNNNNNNNNNNNNNNNNNNCUCCUCAGUCCUAAUCUCUUCUGCGAUGAUUUAGAUCAUACAUUCAUAAUUCAUACAUUACAAUGUAAGUUACUCGAAUCUACAAAAAAACCAGUUGCACAUAACAAAUAGCAAGCUUCAGGACAGAGAAGAUCAGCAGAACUGAGAUUGAUGAAAAUACAUGAUCUGUUCUCUCUCUAUCAAUUCCCUUGAAACUCAUAUCUCAAUUAAUGUUUUUUAGUCUGUCUACAGGAAAAAGCAUAUUGUAUGUCUGUGACAUUCCAAUGUCCAAAACUCUAAGUUCUUCAGUUUUUUCUUUUCUUUUUUUAAAAAACAAAAAAAAACAAAAAAAAAACAAAAUCAGGGAAGAGCCAAGAGAAACCUUGUCAUGAAAAUGCAAUAUAAAAGAUAAGUUCAAAAUAGUAUUUUGAAGGAGACAGAGACAUGAUGUAUCAAAGCAUGACAUCAAAACCAAAAUCCUAAACUAGGUACCAUAUCAAUUACAAAUGACUACUUGCAAUGCAAUUUGCAAAACUUACAUGACCGGGAGGAAAAAUAAUAUCACAACCAGUCAACCAUACUGAUUAAAUAAAAAGUGAUUCCAUUUCUUGUCUCCUGCAUUCAUCCUAAAGCCAUUGAGGGGGUCUACUCGAUAAAGAUCACAUUUUACGCCAAGCCUACUAGGAACCAUGAAUGUACAUUGAGAAAAAGACAAAAAAAAACCUGUCAAUAUAUAUACCAGUUAAAGACCAUCAAAGCAUAUAGCAUUCAGCACCUGAUAAAUAUAACUGAACCAUAAUAUAUGUUGUCUAUAGUAUUUGUUAAUAUAAGUUAUGCUUAAAUUACCAGUAGCAUUGUAGUGAACCCAUGCUACCAACCUUAAGAAAUUAGAAAUGUAGUGAUCCUGCAUCAAAAUAGUAGAAGUUACUUCUAAAGACAAAUUCCUCUGCUGGAACCAUGAUACUUGUCAAAUAGGAUGUCAAAGUGAUUCGGUUUCAUUUUAUUCUCACAAAAGAACAUUACUGAUAUGAUUAAUUUUUUCUUCUUAUAACUAAAUCGGAAUUACAAAACCAUGAGGUUCUGGUUGUGGUGUGGUAGAAUUUAUAUCAACACAAUAUAAGGGGCAGUGGAUAAUUUUCUUCUUUAUUACAAGAACAAGAAUGCUGAACUCAAGUCCUAAUCUCUUCUGCCAUGAUAACAGAAUAUACUGGUAACUAGUUAAUAAAUUAACAGCUUUACUAGCAAUAUUGAGCAGAAGGAACUCAUAAAAAAUUAUCAAAUACAAACCAGUAAACAAAAUAUUGGCUAUACAGAGAGGAGCCAAACCAUAUCAAGAUCUCAUCACAUCUUUCUGCAAAUGUAUUUCAUGAUUUAAUGCCCUGAAACUCGUGCCAUGAAAAAGAUAUUCUAUGUGUGAGAGAGUUCAUGUUUAGCAGAUAAAACGAAUUAGAUCAUACAUUCAUACAUUGCGAUACAAGUUACUAGAAUCUCAAAAAGACAGUGCGUUUAUUGAUAUAACAAAUGGCAAGUUUCAGGACAGAGAAAUAAGCAGAACUGUGAUUGAUGAAAAUCGAUUGACGUUUAGUAACGCAUAUUGUAUGUCUAUGUCAUUGCAAUGCCCAACUUCCAGCAGUUUUUAUUAUUUUUUUAAUUAUUUAUAUUAAUUUUAGGGAAGAGCUAAGAGAACCUUGUCAUGAAAAUUGAAGAUAAAAUAUAAGUUCUAAAGAGUGUAUUUUGAAGGAGACAGAGACAGGAUAUAUCAAAGCCUGACAUCAAAACCAAAAUCCUGAACUAUGUACCAUAUCAAUAACAAAUGACUACUUGAAUGAAUCAGCAAAACUUACAUGACAAGGAAAAAUAAUAUCACAACCAUACCGAUUAAAUAAAAAAUGCUUCCAUUUCUUCUCUCCUGCAAUCAUCCUAAAGUCAUUGUGGGGGUCUACUUGAUAAAGAUCACCUUUUACACCAAGCCUACUGGGAACGAUGAAUGCACAUUGAGAAAAAGAAUAAACAAAUUGAACCUUAUAAAGAACAUCAAAGCAUAUAGCAUUCAACACCUGAUAAAAUAAUUGAACCUUAAUAUAUGUUGUCUAUAGUGAUUUGUGAAUAUAAGGUAUGGCUUCAAUUACCAGUAGCAUUGUAGUCAACACAUUAAGAAAUGUAGUGAUCCUGCAUCAAAACAGUCAUAGAAGUUACUUUUAAAGACAGACUCCUCUAGUGGAACCAUGAUACUUGUCAAAUAGGAUGUCAAAGUGAUUCCAGUAACUUAUUAUUCCAGUAACUUGGAAGGCAUCAAAAUCUUCUAACUCAAAUGCCAAUACAACACAAUAGAGAUCAGUUAAUUACCAUUAUAAUUUCAAAAGUCUCAGGCAAUUUUCUGGGACCAUUUUGCAGGUAGCUUGUAAUGUUGGUGGUUCUGCAUCAAGUUGAAGGGUAACGUUAACAACACUGUUGUAUCAGACUAGUUACUAGCUUACAGGUACCAUGCCAAGGAUCACAUGCAGCUGAGUGAUAUUAUGAAACAAGU